GGAGAGCUGUCCGAGUGGUCUAUGGUGAUUGACUUGAAAUCAAUUGUGGUGCAAGCCACCAGGGGUUCGAAUCCUCUGCUCUCCGCCA
rnacentral:tRNA from 1 species